rnacentral:rRNA from 1 species
CUACGAAAACCCAUAUAAAUUGGCGGUUAAAAUCAAUUAGAGGAACUCGCUUCAUAAUCGUCAAUCCCCGUUAAUUUUCACUUGCUUUAACUAUUAAAGCUUAUAUACCGCCGUUCCAGAAAAGACAAAAAAUCCAAUUCUUAAUAGACAUUAUCUAAAAAAUCAGGUCAAGGUGUAGCCCAUAAGCAAGAAGAAGUAAGUUACAAUAAAAACAAUUUAAGGAACAAUUCCUAAAGGAAAAGAGAAAAGGAAUCUAAAAAUACAUACUAAUUAAAAUUU